rnacentral:rRNA from 1 species
AUACGGGGGAUGCAAGCGUUAUUCGGAAUCAUGGGGCGUAAAGGGCACGCAGGCGGUUCUGUCAGUCAGAUGUGAAAGCCCGGGGCUUAACCCCGGACGUGCAUUUGAAACAGCAGGACUUGAGUAUGGUAGAGGAAAGCGGAAUUCCUGGUGUAGAGGUGAAAUUCGUAGAUAUCAGGAGGAACACCGGUGGCGAAGGCGGCUUUCUGGACCAAAACUGACGCUGAGGUGCGAAGGCGUGGGUAGCGAACAGGAUUAGAAACCCCUGUAGUCC